CUAACCAUGAACAUGGAUGGUUUUUGCUUUGAAGAGGUUCAGAGCGGAAAGCAAAAGGGAAUGCGAAGGUGUGGACCCCAUCAGGGCACGCUAAACGCAGCCGACCCCGCGACUGUAGAGCAGCGAGGGUUUUCCAUUCGGCUUUGGACUGAUUGGUACGGCGGGCCACAUGGUGUGGCCGGUGCGAAAAAGAAAAAAGCCGGAAAAGCCACUGGAGUGGCAAAGCGAUCUGCCGGGGUUGGACGCCUCUUUAUCUACGAAUCGUCCGCCUUUUCGUUUGUGCCCCAUGCUCCGGGAAGGUGAGGAAAGCCUGUGAACCAACCUCUUAGGUUGGUUUGACACUGUGAGCCAGGAGACCUGCCGUCCGUGACGGGCAUUU
rnacentral:ncRNA from 1 species